rnacentral:misc_RNA from 1 species
CGAGUUCGCGGGAGAGUAAGUUAUUGCCAGGGUUUUUAUUUUGUAUUUUAAGCCUUGAUUUUAUUUUUAUAGUAUUUGAAUAAAACAUUCAAAUACUAUAAAAAUAAAAUAGAUAUUGACAUGGGUUAAACAAAGAUAUAUAUUAUUCUAUGUUACAUAAACAAAUUGGCAAAGUAGAGAUGGAAGAUAAAAAUAUGGUCAAAGUAAUAAGAGUCUAUGGUGAAUGCCUA